GAUGAACGCUGGCGGCGUGCCUAAUACAUGCAAGUCGAGCGAACAGACGAGGAGCUUGCUCCUCUGACGUUAGCGGCGGACGGGUGAGUAACACGUGGAUAACCUACCUAUAAGACUGGGAUAACUUCGGGAAACCGGAGCUAAUACCGGAUAAUAUAUUGAACCGCAUGGUUCAAUAGUGAAAGACGGUUUUGCUGUCACUUAUAGAUGGAUCCGCGCCGCAUUAGCUAGUUGGGAAGGUAACGGCUUACCAAGGCAACGAUGCGUAGCCGACCUGAGAGAGUGAUCGGCCACACUGGAACUGAGACACGGUCCAGGCUCCUACGGGAGGGAGCAGUAGGGAAUCUGCCGCAAUGGGCGAAAGCCUGGCGGAGCAACGCCGCGUGAAUGAUGAAGGUCUUCGGAUCGUAAAACUCGGUUAUUAGGGAAGAACAAAUGUGUAAGUAACUAUGCACGUCUUGACGGUACCUAAUCAGAAAGCCACGGCUAACUACGUG
rnacentral:rRNA from 1 species